ACUGCCCUCCUGGCUCACUCCUGUGCUCCAGGGAAUCUGCCAUCUGCCGCAGGGUGGCUGGUGGUUCUUGAAAUGCUGACCCUGCAUGCAGCAGCCCAGAGGGUAACCAUGAUGCCAAAGACUCCUUGGUAAUAAAUACCCCAGUAACAAGAACAUGAACAAUGAAAACUGCAUUGUUUCAUGGAGAUUCAAACUGCCUAACCAUGUAGACUGGCUGGUUGGAUGGUGAGGUGGAAGGUGC